CUUUCUUAAUCUUUCAUUUAGGUCCUUUUUCCAUGACAUCAAAACAGGCGAACCUGAGGGGCAUGGACCGACUGGUGUUUGUAGACUCCCUUGCUGUCAUAAUGGGGCACGAGGAGAGGGAGCCGUGUAUCUUGGAGACAGCGAUCAACAUCCUCGGUUCCAAACAGACGGCAAGCGAACUGUUCGUUAAAUAUCCACUGAAUCAGUGGCAACAGAAGUUGCGUGGGACUGACGUGAUGUGUCAGAUUACGAGAAACAGAAUGAUCCUUCAGAUUCUACUGAGCACCAUGCUGUUUGUCACGUGACCUGCGUACUGCCAGCCAGACAAGCAUUGAAGUACGUGCGGCAACAGUUGGCGGACCGACUUGAUGUCAGAAGAUUAAACCUGCUGGGACAAAGAAGGAACAUCGUAUCCGCAAGAAACUGAUAUCAGUCUGAACGAGGCAUUCGUUGUCUGCAGAGAAGAAGCUUGAUUGAUCCAUGGGACUUUACUGAGGUUGAAGGAUGCGUCACCUGACAUGACUACUGCUUGCCAGGAAAAGAGUGGAGUAUGUGCAGAAACACUAUGGUGGCUCA